rnacentral:rRNA from 1 species
CAACCGAGAUUCCCCCAGUAGCGGCGAGCGAACGGGGAGCAGCCCAGAGUCUGAAUCAGCUUGUGUGUUAGUGGAACGGUCUGGAAAGUCCGACGGUACAGGGGGAUAGUCCCGUACACCAAAAUGCACAGGCUGUGAACUCGAAGAGUAGGGCGGGACACGUGGUAUCCUGUCUGAAUAUGGGGGGACCAUCCUCCAAGGCUAAAUACUCCUGACUGACCGAUAGUGAACCAGUACCGUGAGGGAAAGGCGAAAAGAACCCCGGCGAGGGGAGUGAAAAAGAACCUGAAACCGUGUACGUACAAGCAGUGGGAGCACCUUCGGGUGUGACUGCGUACCUUUUGUAUAAUGGGUCAGCGACUUAUAUUCUGUAGCAAGGUUAACCGUAUAGGGGAGCCGCAGGGAAACCGAGUCUUAACUGGGCGUUAAGUUG